UACGUAGGGGGCAAGCGUUGUCCGGAUUUAUUGGGCGUAAAGAGCGUGUAGGCGGCCACACAGGUCUGCUGUGAAAACUCGAGGCUCAACCUCGAGCUGUCGGUGGAAACCGUGUGGCUAGAGUCCGGAAGAGGAGUGUGGAAUUCCCGGUGUAGCGGUGAAAUGCGCAGAUAUCGGGAAGAACACCCGUGGCGAAGGCGGCACUCUGGGACGGUACUGACGCUGAGACGCGAAAGCGUGGGGAGCGAACAGG
rnacentral:rRNA from 1 species